AUCCAGCUAGUGAGUCCAAAAUAGGACGAAACGUGUAUCCUGGAU
rfam:Schistosoma haematobium scaffold386_51, whole genome shotgun sequence.